rnacentral:tRNA from 1 species
GGGCCUGUGGUCUAGUCAGGAAUGACGUAGGACUUCGGAUCCUGAGGUCGGGGGUUCAAAUCCCUCCAGGUCCGC